rnacentral:rRNA from 1 species
UACGUAGGGGGCAAGCGUUGUCCGGAAUCAUUGGGCGUAAAGAGCGUGUAGGCGGUUCGAUAAGUCUGCUGUGAAAGUCCAGGGCUCAACCCUGGGAUGCCGGUGGAUACUGUCGAACUUGAGUCCGGAAGAGGCGGGUGGAAUUCCUGGUGUAGCGGUGAAAUGCGCAGAUAUCAGGAGGAACACCAAUGGCGAAGGCAGCCCGCUGGGACGUGACUGACGCUGAGACACGAAAGCCAGGGGAGCAAACGGG